GCAGUGUUCCGGCUCUGUCGCUGGUAUCUUGAUGAUACGAGAGGAAAGUCCGGGCAGCAUAGGGCGCUCCACUUCUGAAAGUAGAAGCUAUUGGCAACAGUAGGCGAGGGCAGAAGAAAACAACCGCCUCGUCGUAGUGCGGGGUAAGGGUGAGAAGGUGGUGUAAGAGACCACCAGCCGGCGGGUGAUCGUCGGGCUGUGUCUGCUGGAGGCUGCAAGUUCAUGUAUACCACCGUCUGAGGGCUGCCCGCCCGAUAUGGUCUGCCCACAUCUUCCUGCGGGAUAUGUCGGGGAGACUAUGCGGUGGAGGGUAGAAUGCUUGAGCCGCAGGGUGACUUGCGGACUAGAUACAUGACAGGCACUGGCUGUUGUCGAGAGGCACUGUCAGCACAGAACCCGGCUUAUAGGAGCACUGCUUCG
rnacentral:RNase_P_RNA from 1 species